CUUUGCAAGAAUAAAUAUAUCUCUCUCCCCCGAAAUCUAAUGAGCUGGUCCCUAUUCGUUAAGAACCCAAUAGUUAAUGUAUCAUUAUUAUUAUAAAAAUAGUUACCAGAGGCUACAUACCAACCGCACUAGAACAUAGCUGGUUCUUCACCACCCCAGUCUAAGCUGCUCAAGCUGAACCAUCCUACCACCCCUUCAGCUAUGAAAACAAAUUAAGGACAAGCCUAAUUUUUCUCCUUAUUAACAUAACAAUCCCCCAUUCUAUGCAGGCCCAAAAACAGCCAUCAUAAUAUACCGUUACAGCACCAUACAAAAAAAAAUAAAAAAAAAAAUAAAACCUCCGUGAACUAAUUUCCCAACCUCCCUCUUUUCCACCUCUGCAAAGAUAAGUAUUCUCCCCUCUAUGACGAAGGAACUCGGCAACCCCUUAUUCCGACUGUUUAACAAAAACAUUGCCUGUAGCAUCAAUCCUAUUACAGGUACACCCUGCCCAGUGUAAAUAUAUCAACGGCCGCGGUACCCUGACCGUGCAAAGGUAGCAUAAUAAUUUGCCUUUUAAUUGGAGGCUGGUAUGAAAGGGAAAACGAGAAUAAACCUGUCUCCGUCAUACACAUAAAAAUUCAUCUUCAGGUGAAGAAGCCUGAAUUAAUAUAAAAGACAAGAAGACCCCGUCGAGCUUUAAUCUGCUCUUAAGACUAUAAUUAAUUUUUCUUAUAUUAUCCCUUAUAAGCGAUUUUUGUUGGGGCGACAACGGACCAAUCUUACCUCCGAUAAACUACAGAUCCUUAAUCACUCAAAAGAUCCUCCACAGACCACAAGAAAAAGCUACCGCAGGGAUAACAGGCUAAUCUCCCCCCGGAGCCCAAAUCUACGGGGAGGCUUGGCACCUCGAUGUUGGCUUAGGAAUUUCUCUUAGAUGCAGCAGUCUAUGAAGUGGGUUUGUUCAACCCUUAAUAUCCUACAUGAG
rnacentral:rRNA from 1 species